rnacentral:rRNA from 1 species
GUGGGGAAUUUUGGACAAUGGGCGCAAGCCUGAUCCAGCCAUGCCGCGUGCAGGAUGAAGGCCUUCGGGUUGUAAACUGCUUUUGUACGGAACGAAAAGACUUCUUCUAAUACAGGAGGUCCAUGACGGUACCGUAAGAAUAAGCACCGGCUAACUACGUGCCAGCAGCCGCGGUAAUACGUAGGGUGCAAGCGUUAAUCGGAAUUACUGGGCGUAAAGCGUGCGCAGACGGUUAUAUAAGACAGAUGUGAAAUCCCCGGGCUCAACCUGGGAACUGCAUUUGUGACUGUAUAGCUAGAGUACGGUAGAGGGGGAUGGAAUUCCGCGUGUAGCAGUGAAAUGCGUAGAUAUGCGGAGGAACACCGAUGGCGAAGGCAAUCCCCUGGACCUGUACUGACGCUCAUGCACGAAAGCGUGGGGAGCAAACAGGAUUAGAUACCCCAGUAGUCC